rnacentral:rRNA from 1 species
GGGUUGUCAUGACCUCUGUGCCGCCGCUAACGCAUUAAGUAUUCCGCUUGGGGAGUACGGUCGCAAGAUUAAAACUCAAAGGAAUUGACGGGGGCCCGCACAAGUAGCGGAGCAUGUGGUUUAAUUCGAAGCAACGCGAAGAACCUUACCUAGACUUGACAUCUCCUGAAUUACCAUGUAAUGUGGGAAGUCCUUUCGGGGACAGGAAGACAGGUGGUGCAUGGUUGUCGUCAGCUCGUGUCGUGAGAUGUUGGGUUAAGUCCCGCAACGAGCGCAACCCUUAUUGUUAGUUGCUACCAUUUAGUUGAGCACUCUAGCGAGACUGCCCGGGUUAACCGGGAGGAAGGUGGGGAUGACGUCAAAUCAUCAUGCCCCUUAUGUCUAGGGCUACACACGUGCUACAAUGGCCGGUACAACGAGAUGCAAUACCGUGAGGUGGAGCAAAACUAUAAAACCGGUCUCAGUUCGGAUUGUAGGCUGAAACUCGCCUACAUGAAGCUGGAGUUACUAGUAAUCGCGAAUCAGAAUGUCGCGGUGAAUACGUUCCCGGGCCUUGUACACACCGCCCGUCACACCAUGAGAGUUGGCAAUACCCAAAGUUGGUGAUCUAACCCGUAAGGGAGGAAGCCACCUAAGGUAGGGUCAGCG